rnacentral:rRNA from 1 species
AUUGAACGCUGGCGGCAUGCCUUACACAUGCAAGUCGAACGGUAACAGGUUAAGCUGACGAGUGGCGAACGGGUGAGUAAUAUAUCGGAACGUGCCCAGUCGUGGGGGAUAACGUAGCGAAAGCUACGCCAAUACCGCAUACGAUCUACGGAUGAAAGCGGGGGAUCGCAAGACCUCGCGCGAUUGGAGCGGCUGAUAUCGGAUAAGGUUGGUGGUGAGGUAAAAGCUCACCAAGCCUGCGAUCUGUAGCUGGUCUGAGAGGACGACCAGCCACACUGGAACUGAGACACGGUCCAGACUCCUACGGGAGGCAGCAGUGGGGAAUUUUGGACAAUGGACGCAAGUCUGAUCCAGCAAUGCCGCGUGCAGGACGAAGGCCUUCGGGUUGUAAACUGCUUUUGUACGGAACGAAACGGUGAGCUCUAAUACAGUUUGCUAAUGACGGUACCGUAAGAAUAAGCACCGGCUAACUACGUGCCAGCAGCCGCAGUAA